AUCAGUAAAAUGCACUUCCCUUGUAGAUUAGGCGAAGGCAUUACGGACCUCACUUGCCAGUUGAUUAUCAAAUUUUGCUAAUAGAAAUGCAACAAAUGACGGAAGCCAGGACUUUGGGCUUUGUAAUGAGGUCAGGUGGGGUGUUUUUUCAGAAAGGUUAAGGCUUGAAAGCAAAUUCGAUGCCAGGGGUAAAAUAAACUGAGAUUGCCCUAUUUUGAAAUCAUUUCCGAUUUUGAACGAAACCGGGGAAAAUUUGCCCCAGUUUGAUCGAACUUUCACUCUUUGCAUUUCUUCAUUGCAUUUUUCUCAUUUUUGCAUUUUUCUUUGAAAACUAAAUUUGCCCCAGUGUGGGGUUUCUUUUCCUUUUCUUUUGCUCAUUUCUCUUUCAAAAAUUAAAAUUUUGCCCCAGUGUGGGGUUUGCAAUUCUCAGGGGUUAUCAAACGAAAUUUGUCUACUCUGAUGGCUCAAAGGGGACAAGUAGAGAUAAAAUGUUUUUAGUGUAAAAGAAGAUGGCCUGACUUGCAUUUCGCCAUUUGCAUGAAUUUCUUAAAGAAAAUUUGCAUGAUCAAAUGAAAAACUUUUUGCACAUAUCUGAGUUGAUGGGUUGAGGGAAUGCUCGUCCAUCCAUUUCUGCUAGAAUAAGGGCUCCGCCAGGUAAUACCUUUUGGACAAUGAACGGCCCUUGCCAGUUUGGAGCGAAUUUGCCUUUAGCUUCAUCUUGCAUUGACAAAAUCCGCUUCAGUACCUUAUCACCUUCUUCAAAUGCCCGCCGAUGGACCUUUUUGUUGUAAGCCGGGCCACCCGUUUCUGAUAACACUGACCAUGACAAAUAGCAUUGAAUCGCCUUUCAUCGAUCGACGUCAAUUGUUCAUGGCGCUGCUUUAUCCAAUCAGCCUCUUCCAACUUAGCUUCCAUGAGGAUUCGCAACGAAGGAAUUUCAACU
rnacentral:lncRNA from 1 species